rnacentral:rRNA from 1 species
AGGACGAACGCUGGCGGCGUGCCUAACACAUGCAAGUCGAGCGGGACCAGGGGCAACUCUGGUUCAGUGGCGGACGGGUGCGUAACACGUGAGGAACAUGACCUUCGGCGGGGGAUAGCCGGCCCAACGGCCGGGUAAUACCGCGUACGACCACAUGGGGACAUCCCUGAGUGGUGAAAGCAGCAAUGCGCCGAUGGAGUGCCUCGCGGCCUAUCAGCUAGUUGGUGAGGUAACGGCUCACCAAGGCAACGACGGGUA